UACGUAGGGUGCGAGCGUUAAUCGGAAUUACUGGGCGUAAAGCGUGCGCAGGCGGUUGUGCAAGACAGAUGUGAAAUCCCCGGGCUUAACCUGGGAAUUGCAUUUGUGACUGCACGGCUAGAGUGUGUCAGAGGGAGGUAGAAUUCCACGUGUAGCAGUGAAAUGCGUAGAUAUGUGGAGGAAUACCGAUGGCGAAGGCAGGCCUCCUGGGCCAACACUGACGCUCAUGCACGAAAGCGUGGGGAGCAAACAGG
rnacentral:rRNA from 1 species